AGAGCCUCUGUGAGGCGGGCACCUACCUCUGGCCUGGGCUCGGAGCAGAUGCUGGGCAGCAGCUUUUGGAAGCCGUGGUAGUGAGUCCAGGUCUUCAGGUCUCUGAAGGAAGCACCCAUGAACCAGUCCCUGGGAUUAAGGAGGAAGCAGAGGUUUUAAUGAAGCAGACUCCAUUCUUUGGAGGGGUGACGGGAGCUUUUCUCUGAGAUCAAGCACUAGAGAAGACACAAAAAGUGUACUUCAUAGUGCCUGAGGCCACAAAGGUGCAUAUCACUGCACUGUGAACAACAGAUCAUCACAAGGUCAAAGAAGGAAGGAAGCAGAUUUCCCACAAAAUGCUCUUAUGGCUUUGACACUGAGCACAGAAUGCAUCAAGAAAUGCUGACAUGUUUGGAAAACUAAAAUGGAUUAGGAAACCAUGACAUAUUAGAAAGGCAAACCUUUGGGCUCAGGUCACCUAGAGGAUAUUGUGCUUGUGGGGAAAGUCUGUGAGUGAAGUGCCUGUCCCUCCUGUUCGAGGAAGCCAGGUGCUUUGAAUGUGAUCACCACCUUAACUGUGAAAGACUGCAAACUGUAGGUUUCUCUUUAAAAGUGACUAUGAAGUGUUUGGUCUUGAAAUAUCUCUUGCCAGGUGACAGCAGAUUUUCCUUCCAAAAUGCCUUACCUUAAAUUCGUCAAGGAGCAAGGAUUGGCAAUACUGUGGGUACUCAAGAGUCAGUGGGAUAGGGUUGAUGCUGAGUGUUUGGGGCAAGAGCAUCCUGUCUGAGAGAUGAGCACGCCGUGGGUGCACAAUUAUUUAUGAGUAGUUUCCCUUACUGCUGAGCAGGAUAUAUUUAAUCUCACCGUGCAGCCCCUGCGUUCACCUUUUCACAGGAUCUUGAGUUGCUCCAGGCUCUUCCUGUCUGAUCCCAUUCAAUGCUGGUAUGGGGGUUUCAGGAGUAUAGACACGGAGGAAAUUACUGUCUGUAUUUUGUUAAAGUAUGUGUCCUUUAAGACCUCCUGCUCUUUCCAGGUUCCCAAACAGCAGCUAUCACUGUGAAAUCUGCUAUGCCCCUUUGACCAAAAAUUUUGUUUGUUUGUUUACAGUAUAACCUUCAGACUAGAUGAACACAGAGUGCUUGAUCUGGACUUAGUCUGAGAAUGAGCGGAGGCUGUGGCACCCUGUGGAGAUACCACAGACUGCGCACAUUCAAGGCCCACCAAUGUGGUGGGGUAAUGAAUGCAACUCUGCUUGGCUAAGUGAGUGGUGUGACACCUUUUCUCCUCCUGAUAGCACAACAGCUGUGAUUUUCGGAGGCAUCUGAACCAGUUGGCAUCUGGGGAGCAAGAUUUUCUCAAUGGAAGGUUUUGUUCUGCUCUGAUUUUCCUCUGCUGCUCUUACAUACCAUGGACUUUGUGAGCUAGUCACAACAGCCCCUCCUCCAUCCCAUCUUUUACAUUCAGUUUUUAGAGUUUGGAAGGCUUUUAAUGUGUUGAUUUUGUGUCCAAAUUGGAUACAUUGUAAAAGUUUUUUUUAAAUAUUUCUGCUUUUCAUAGAAAACUUUUGAUGGGGAUAGUUGGAAAUAAAUGUAAACAAAUGCUGAACAACAUGCUGCAUCUGCAGGCAUAAAUCCGCUCCACAGACCUGCAAAUUGAAGUCUCAAAGCUCCUGUUCUGUUGAAAGGAGGAACACGGGCUUAACAAGGGGUAAGAUGUUAAUAAAAUCUUUGUUCACUGUUACAAUAAGGAAUAGCUAAACGUGGUUUGGGGUUUCUGCCAAGUUAACCCUGACCUAUGCCCAUUCUCACAAGUACUGCUAAGAAAACCCUUAACCCUUAUUAAAGAUAAAGAAUGAAAAACAGUUAAUACUUUUAAUUUUGAAUGCUGUAUUUAAAGCAGAAGUUUUUAUUUUAAAAACAUUCCUUAUUCCCUUUGCCUGUUGCUAGACCAGGGGCUUUAAAGAAAAGACACAUUUUAUGUGGCAUUAACUUUGUGAGUAAAACCCAAUUGUCUUAGAUGGUUUGAAACUAGCCCUGCCCUUAAUAUUAUUGGAGUCCUAUUUUUGUUAAGAUGAAAGUGCAGAUGUUCUGAGUCCCCCUAAACAAUGCUUAACCCAGCUUAUUUGACUGUUUCCUUCCCUGCAGUCUGUUAGACUCUGCCCAUCUAUGGUCUCUUCCUUGUUGUUGGUAGCUACUUGGGGCAGGAACAAUGUGCAUGGAAGAUUUAGAUCCAUGACUGAGCAGAAUUGCUGUGGUAAUUGGAAUAAUAACAACAAAAAUAAUAACAACAUGGAAAAGUAAGACAACAUUCAGUCAACAUUUCAACUUUUUAUUUCUUCAAUGAAUAAAGGCAAAAGAGAGACAGC